GUAAGGAAUAUUGGACAAUGGACGCAAGUCUGAUCCAGCCAUGCCGCGUGAAGGAUUAAGGUCCUCUGGAUUGUAAACUUCUUCUAUAAGGGACGAAAAAAGGCUUUUCUAAGUCGUCUGACGGUACCUUAUGAAUAAGCACCGGCUAACUCCGUGCCAGCAGCCGCGGUAAUACGGAGGGUGCAAGCGUUAUCCGGAUUCACUGGGUUUAAAGGGUGCGUAGGCGGGCAGGUAAGUCAGUGGUGAAAUCCUAGAGCUUAACUCUAGAACUGCCAUUGAUACUAUCUGUCUUGAAUAUUGUGGAGGUAAGCGGAAUAUGUCAUGUAGCGGUGAAAUGCUUAGAUAUGACAUAGAACACCUAUUGCGAAGGCAGCUUACUACGCAUAUAUUGACGCUGAGGCACGAAAGCGUGGGGAUCAAACAGGAUUAGAAACCCGUGUAGUCC
rnacentral:rRNA from 1 species